AAUGAACGUUGGCGGCGUGGAUUAGGCAUGCAAGUCGAGCGGUAAGGAACUGCUCACGGGUGCUAUUUAGCCCCCGGUCAAUGACCGGGGGUUAGAUGGUCGCGUGAGCGGUUCCCUAGAGCGGCGAAAGGGAGAGUAAUACGUAGUUACGUACCCCGAGGACCGGAAUAGCCACGGGAAACUGUGGGUAAUGCCGGAUAAUGUCCCCGGACCAAAGGUGUGAUUCCGCCUCGGGAGCGGACUGCGUUGUACUAGCUAGUUGGUGGGGUAAUGGCCUACCAAGGCAAUGAUGCAUAGCAGGCGUGAGAGCGUGGCCUGCCUCACUGGGACUGAGACACUGCCCAGACACCUACGGGUGGCUGCAGUCGAGAAUCUUCGGCAAUGCGCGCAAGCGUGACCGAGCGACGCCGUGUGCGGGAUGAAGGCCUUCGGGUUGUAAACCGCUGUCGUAGGGGAGGAAGUUGAUCGGGGUUCUCCCCGGUCAUUGACCUAUCCUAGGAGGAAGGACGGGCUAAGUUCGUGCCAGCAGCCGCCGUAACAC
rnacentral:rRNA from 1 species